UGGCAACACUGAGCAGAUGUGGCCGAUGAUGGUGUCAGACACAAUGAAGAACACAUCUGGGAUGUAGCGAGAAAACCAAUCACUGUUGGAGACCACAAUUUUGCAUUUUUGCAUUUUUUAAAGGAUGUACCACCAGAAGUAUUUCCUCUGUGAGACGAAGGUCAGCGCCAGCAGCGUCUGCAGAUACAUGCCCUCCAC